rnacentral:tRNA from 1 species
GCGAGGGUGGUGAAACUGGUAGACACGCUAGACUUAGGAUCUAGUGGGGAAACCCGUGGGGGUUCGAGUCCCCCCCUUCGCA